rnacentral:rRNA from 1 species
UACGGAGGGCGCAAGCGUUGUUCGGAAUCACUGGGCGUAAAGCGCGUGUAGGCGGCCGGGCAAGUCGGGUGUGAAAUCCCGAGGCUCAACCUCGGAACUGCAUUCGAAACUGCUCGGCUCGAGUCCCGGAGAGGAUGGCGGAAUUCCCGGUGUAGGGGUGAAAUCCGUAGAUAUCGGGAGGAACACCAGUGGCGAAGGCGGCCAUCUGGACGGUGACUGACGCUGAGACGCGAAAGCGUGGGGAGCAAACAGG